CUAAAACUGUGAAUAGCAACAAUAAAGGAAGAAAAGGGGCUGAAGUGGAAAGAGAGUUGAAAUGGAAGCUUGUGACACAGAAUUACUAGGGGCAGAAAUGGCUAGCACUAGGAUUGUAAAUUAGUAUGAAUAAGCACAAAAAUGCUUUGUUUUACCUGAAAAUUCUGUCCUAAACUUCAUAUGAGCUCAAGCUAAGUUGAAUUUUGAUCAAGAAAAUGAGAUCCAUUUAAAAUUUGUGUUGACUUUGCUAAUGUAAGCUCAACCAUUUAAAAACUCAGCUACACCUGAAUGUAAAUCACUUGGUAUAUCUAAAAUAUCCAAUAUUAAUUUAUACUUAUUAUAUAGAAAAAUUUUAAAAUUUUAAACUGAAACGUUAGACCAAGGAUACCCUAUAAUGCAUAUCUAGUGUUCGAUGUUCACUUUAUACCUUUUUACUAAUAUUAUUUUUACCACUAAUACUAUAUUUUUUAAUUAGUUUACUUGUCAUAUAAAUUAUUUGAUAAUUGAAUAAAGUGUCACUAUUUUGUUGCUUCUCCAAUUAAGAGUGUGAUCCAAAAGACCAAUUAUCAAAAAGAAAAUGACUUAACAAUUCCCUUUCAA
rnacentral:misc_RNA from 1 species